GCCGUAGCUCUGUGGCAGAACAUCUGCUUUGCAUGCAGAAGGUCGCAGGUUCAAUCCCCGGCAUCUUCA